rnacentral:rRNA from 1 species
UCUUCCGAUCUGGCGUAUGGUGGAUGCCUUGGCAGACAGUACCGAUGAAGGACGUGUGGGGCCGCGAUAGUCCUGGGGGAGCCGCCGACAUGGCUUUGAUCCCAGGGUGUCCGAAUGGGGCAACCCGCCAGCCGUCAUGGGCUGGCACCGCACUUGUGCGGGGGGUACGCAGGGAAGUGAAACAUCUCAGUACCUGCAGGAGAGGAUACUCCGUGAGUAGUGGCGAGCGAAAGCGGAUGAUGGCUAAACCGUGCGCGUGUGAUACCCGUCGGGGGUUGCGCGCAUGGUGUCGUGGGAACGCCUGUCCAACGGCCGACGCCGUUGGCUGUGGUGAUAAAUGCAUGCGUGAGGCGAACCGGGUUGGAUACCGGGCCGUAGAGGGUGAUGGCCCCGUAGCCGUAUGCGCGUGCACCAUGGAUGGUGUCUCCCGAGUAGCGCGGGACUCGUGGAAUCCCGUGUGAAUCCGCCCGGACCGUCGGGUAAGCCUGAGUAUACCUGUCUGACCGAUAGCGUACGAGUACCGUGAGGGAAAGGUGAAAAGCACCCCGGGAGGGGAGUGAAAGAGUUCCUGAAACCGUGCGCCCGCGAACCGUCGGAGCCCCCUUGGUGGGGUGACGGCGUGCCUAUCGAAAAAUGAGUCUGCGAGUCAGUGGCAUGUGGCGAGCAUAACCCGUGUGGGGUAUGCGUAGCGAAGGCGAGUCUUAAAAGGCGUUUGAGUCGCGUGUCCUGGACCCGAAGCGGGAUGAUCUAGCCCUGAGCAGGUUGAAGCGCGGGUAAGACCGCGUGGAGGACCGAACCCACCUGGGUUGAAAACCGGGGGGAUGACCUGGGGCUAGGGGUGAAAGGCCAAUCAAAUUCCGUGAUAGCUGGUUCUCUCCGAAAUGCAUUUAGGUGCAGCGUCGGUCGAUUGCGUCGCGGGGGUAGAGCUACCGGAUGCUUGCGGGCCCUUGUUGGGUACCAACAGCAGCCGAACUCCGAAUACCGUUGACGUGUAUUCCGGCAGUGAGUCGGCGGGGGAUAAGCUCCGUCGUCGAGAGGGAGACAGCCCAGACCGUCGUCUAAGGUCCCGAAGCGUGUGCUAAGUGGGAAAGGAUGUGGAGUCGCAUAGACAGCCAGGAGGUUGGCUCAGAAGCAGCCAUCCUUGAAAGAGUGCGUAACAGCUCACUGGUCUAGUGGUUCCGCGCCGACAAUGUAGCGGGGCUCAAGCACGCCACCGAAGACGCGGAUGCGGCCGUAUGGCCGUGUGGUAGGAGAGCGUCCCACACCGGGGCGAAGCGGCGGGGGAACCCGGCCGUGGACUGUGUGGGAGUGAGAAUGCAGACAUGAGUAGCGAGAGCAGGGUGAGGAUCCCUGCCGCUGGAAGACCAAGGGUUCCAGGGCCACGUUCGUCGUCCCUGGGUGAGUCGGGUCCUAAGGCGAGGCCGACAGGCGUAGUCGAAUGGAUGAACGGGUCGAUAUUCCCGUACCGGCUUUCGGACCGACCAACAGCCCGUGUGAACAAGGGCCAUCCGAUACGGUUGAUGGGGGCUUCGGCCUCCUGAUUCCGUUGCUGUUUGGCCUGGACGCGCAUGGGUUGAGCGUUUCAGGAGUGACGCGGACGGGUAGCCGGCCGGGGAGGUGGUUUUCCCUGGUCAAGCGUGUGGCCCCGCCCCCAGGCAAAUCCGGGGGCUUCAUGGGGUGAGGCGUGAUGAUGGGCGCUUUCAUGGCGUGAUAUCCGGUGAUCCCGUCGGCCGAGAAAAGCUUCGGCGCGAGGUCCGUUGCCGCCCGUACCCCAAACCGACACAGGUGGUCUGGUAGAGUAUACCGAAGCGAUCGAGCGAAUCCUGGUCAAGGAACUCGGCAAAUUGCUCCCGUGCCUUCGGCAUAAGGGAGACCCCCGGCCGUGCCGGCCCCUUGCGGGUCGUGGGCGGCUGGGGGUGGCACAGGCCAGGGGGUAGCGACUGUUUACCAAAAACACAGGUGCAUGCCAAGACGCAAGUCGCCGUAUAUGCACUGACGCCUGCCCGGUGCCGGAAGGUUAAGAGGAUCCAUCAGCGUCCCCUCGCGGGAUGCGAAGUGGUGAAUUCAAGCCCCGGUAAACGGCGGUGGUAACAAUAACCAUCCUAAGGUAGCGAAAUUCCUUGUCGGGUAAGUUCCGACCUGCACGAAUGGCGU